rnacentral:tRNA from 1 species
GGGGGAUUAGCUCAGCUGGGAGAGCGCUGCCCUUGCACGGCAGAGGUCGUCGGUUCGAUCCCGAUAUCCUCCA